ACAAAAAUGAAUAAAUUCUAGCAAAUGGUAUUAUGAAAUUAAUAAAUUUGUGUAUAAAAAAUGAUUUCGAAAAGUGUUUGGUGUAUUAACUAAAGGCCGUUUAAGCUGAACGCCGAAGAAGAAAA